AAAUCUCCUAGUGGUUCUCACUUUUUUUCCUCUCCAUUCAAUUUGACUUCACUGACUUUUGUUUGCUCACCAACUCUUAUAGAAAAACACAGCAAUCUAGCAAUUAUGGUCGCAGCACCUGUGAUAGGCGUUGGGCUUAUUGCCGCGGUCUGCAUUGUUUUAGCAUGUCGGAAAUACAAAAAGCGUCCAGCUGGUUAGAGUUUUGUUAAACUUAUACAUGUUGGCUUCAGAUUGUUUCUUUUAUCACAACUUAUUUCUUUCAUUGAUCAUUGCCUUAGCAGAGCCAGUGAAAGAUAGAAGUGCAGAGCUAUUGUUUAAAAGAAUGGAAGCACUUACAAGUGAUAAUGAGUCUGCUUCUAACCAAGUCAAGCUCAAGGAGCUUCCACUAUUUGAUUUUCAAGUUUUAGCAACAUCCACCGAUAACUUCUCUUUAAGAAACAAGCUAGGGCAAGGCGGGUUUGGUCCUGUUUACAAGGUAAAAGCAUUAUACAAGAAUCCAUCUGAAAAGAGAUAUGUGUAUAAAUAACCUCAGACUAAGUGUUUUGUCAUCUUUUUCUCCAGGGAAAAUUGCCAGAAGGGCAAGAAAUUGCAGUGAAGAGGCUCUCACGGAAAUCAGGACAAGGAUUAGAGGAACUUAUGAACGAAGUGGUUGUGAUAUCGAAGCUGCAACAUCGGAAUCUAGUGAAAUUACUUGGAUGUUGCAUUGAAGGUGAAGAAAGGAUGUUAGUCUAUGAAUAUAUGCCAAAGAAAAGCUUGGAUGCAUAUCUAUUUGGUAAAAUUUAUCACCUCUGUUUUCAACUCUGUUUUUCACCAUUUUGCUCUGGAUACUAAUGAUCUUGCUACCUUUUUCUCAGACCCAUUGAAGCAAAAGAUUCUUGAUUGGAAGACUCGGUUCAACAUAAUGGAAGGAAUUUGCAGAGGUCUUUUGUACCUUCACAGAGAUUCAAGACUAAAGAUCAUACACAGAGAUCUAAAAGCCAGCAACAUUUUGUUAGAUGAGAAUCUAAACCCCAAGAUAUCUGAUUUCGGACUUGCAAGAAUUUUCCGAGCGAAUGAAGAUGAAGCUAACACAAGAAGGGUUGUUGGAACGUAGUAAGUAUCCAUUCCCAAAUACAUAAGAAACAUUGUGGUAUGCGGGUUUAUUGAAAUUUUGUUUUUGCAGUGGCUACAUGUCACCAGAAUAUGCAAUGGAAGGUUUCUUUUCAGAAAAAUCAGACGUUUUCAGCUUGGGGGUUAUAUUUCUAGAGAUCAUUAGUGGGAGAAGAAACUCUAGUUCUCACAAGGAAGAGAGUAAUCUGAAUCUUUUGGCUUAUGUAAGUGUACUAAGCAGUGUUUAGUAACUUAUAGUUAAAUUAAGCCAUUGAAACUUACCUCAAAGUGGGUUGUUACAGGCAUGGAAGUUGUGGAACGAUGGUGAGGCUGCCUCUCUAGCAGAUCCAGCCGUCUUUGAUAAGAGUUUUGAGAAAGAGAUAGAGAAAUGUGUUCAUAUUGGACUGUUAUGUGUGCAAGAAGUAGCAAACGAUAGACCUAAUGUUUCAAGCGUGAUAUGGAUGCUAACUACCGAGAAUACAAACCUCGCCGAGCCGAAGCAGCCUGCAUUUAUAGCAAGAAGAGGAGCUUCUGAGGCUGAAUCUUCUGACCAGAGUAGUCAAAAGAUAUCCAUCAAUGAUGUGAGCCUCACAGCUGUAACAGGGCGUUAAUCUCACCCAGCCAAUCUCAGCCUGUUUAUAUAUAAUAAAUCUGUAAUAUAUACGUUUUGAGAAACUCCUAUGUUUACAAAUUUUGUUAUUCUACGUUUGUUCAAUGGUUAGAUGAAUGAAUAAGAGAUGUAUUUCAGAGAAGUUAUUUUUAGAUUCAACUGAGCUUUGUUGAAACUUUACAUAUUCUUAGAUAUGAUCAGAUUUUUGGAAUAAACUAACCUGGAUUAAGAAACUGAACCUGAAGGAAGAGGAGAAGAACAAAAAUCACCCAUGUUCUUGAGAAGCCACAGUAGGGUUUUGUUUUAAGACAAGGAACUAAAACACUAUUAUUAGUUUUGUGUUUUUGGGUAGUUUUGCUAUAGUACAUAGAAACAAACGUGGAUAAUGGAUAAGACUAUAAGAUCAGAAUUGACUUUU
rnacentral:lncRNA from 1 species